AUUUAAAUGCUCUCUUCCCUGUCUCUGACCCCAGACCAGGACAAGCACAGAGGCGCUCGGCAAAUGUCUGUUGCAUGAAUACGCGGACAAAUUCUGGCUGAGAAAGCGUCCUUUGCAGGAGAAUUUCAUAAACAGUCAUUAGGAAAGAUAAACAGUCAUGGAAGUUUCGUGUCACACAGUGACACAAGGAAAGCUGGUGAUGGGAGCUAAGAGGCAAGCACUUGUCAGUUACCAGCACUGGGAUGUGAGACAGUGUUGGACUUUGAGCAAGUGAAGUCAGCAUAUGACCAUGUACCCAUACGUGACGCCCAAGAGGGCCCCGUUUACCCUACACAGGAGCAGCAUCUUACACAUGAUGUGCCCACCGAGCACGGCUUAGCUGUGUCUCCUCCUGAGCAGGUG
rnacentral:lncRNA from 1 species